CAGGGUGACAGGUGGUGGCAUGGUUGUCGUCAGCUCGUGUCGUGAGAUGUUGGUUAAGUCCCGCAACGAGCGCAACCCUCGACCUUAGUUGCCAGCAUUCAGUUGGGCACUCUAAGGUGACUGCCGGCUAAAAGUCGGAGGAAGGUGGGGAUGACGUCAAAUCAUCAUGCCCCUUAUGACCUGGGCUACACACGUGCUACAAUGGGCGGUACAAAGGGUCGCGAACCCGCGAGGGGGAGCCAAUCCCAAAAAGCCGCUCUCAGUUCGGAUUGCAGGCUGCAACUCGCCUGCAUGAAGCCGGAAUCGCUAGUAAUCGCGGAUCAGCAUGCCGCGGUGAAUACGUUCCCGGGCCUU
rnacentral:rRNA from 1 species